UACGUAGGGUGCAAGCGUUAAUCGGAAUUACUGGGCGUAAAGCGUGCGCAGGCGGUUGUGCAAGACAGGUGUGAAAUCCCCGGGCUUAACCUGGGAACUGCACUUGUGACUGCACGGCUGGAGUACGGUAGAGGGGGAUGGAAUUCCGCGUGUAGCAGUGAAAUGCGUAGAUAUGCGGAGGAACACCGAUGGCGAAGGCAGCCUCCUGGGCCAGCACUGACGCUCAUGCACGAAAGCGUGGGGAGCAAACAGG
rnacentral:rRNA from 1 species